UUUUGGCAAAGACUUUACGCUCUUUCCGCUCAGUGCAAAGUCUUUGCGCUUUAUUGGCAAAGUCUUUGCACUCUCUUGCAAAGUGAGUGUGCAAAGUGUUCCACAAAGCGUUUUAUCAACUUUGCAUUUCUGUCUCAUCACUUUUCACUUCGCAUUGCUUUAUAUGUGUUGUUAAAAUGAGCCGCAAAAUACAAAUUAAAAAAAAAACUUGCUGUUUUAAAUGUGAUAAAAGAAAAAAAAAGCAUUUUAUUUGCUAGUUUUAAAAACAACAGAGUUAACAAAUUAGAUAAACAGGCAGCAUGGGAGGAUGUGUUAUAAAAAGCCCAAUCCCUACAACUGGCGUCAGCACAAAAAACAUGGACCUAUGCAAGGGACAGUUUGUUUGGGCUCUGGAAGAGCCGGACAAUGAGUAAAAGGGAUAACGCCCGAAAUACUGGAUCCGGAGGUGGGAAGGAGAAGGUAAUGGAUGAAGCUGACUUGGCCAUACUCGAUAUUCUGGAAUCAGACUCAGCUGUGGUAGAUGGUUUGAAUUUGCCAGAAAGUUAUGGCAACUCAGAAAAUCUACCGUCAGCUGAGAAUGAUUCCAGAAUAUCUAUUUCAGAAGAAACAAUUGCCAAUCCACCUCUAAACCCAAGAAAGAGGAAGCGCUCUACCAAGUUUCCAAGUGAAACUUUGGAUAGAGAGAAAAAAUGCCGGAUGGAGCUCCUUGAGGUUGAGGUUUACUACCGGAAACUUCAAUGCCUAAAACUGGAGAGGGAGCUCCUGCUUCCACCCUCUGCUAUCACACAGGGAAUUGCAACGGCAGAAACAGAAAAUGUAUCGCGUCUGUUAUUUGAGGAGGUUUGAUUACCGAAGGCCAAUUUUUCAUUUGUGUAUAUUUGAUUUCUAAACAUUUUAUUUUGAAAUAAUUUGUGAUAAAAACAAAAAAGCUCUGAAAUUAAUAAAAUGAUGUAAAUAAAUACAAAAAUACUUCCUUUUUUAUUUAUUCCCUGAGACCUUAAUCUCAAACCCAAUAAGAUACAACGCUUUUGCAGUGGAAAAAAGUCAUGGCCAAAACACCACUUUUAUGUAUUUUAAAACAAUACUAUAAUAGUUGGCAUUAGGUAAAGUAUUGUAGCAGGGAAGUAACCCUUUCCAUUCCACUCUCUUGAUCUAUAUUAUUAAGGGCAUCACUUUAUUCUUCAGCAUUUUCAUCCAAUUCCUCGCUUUCAUUGUCAGUGUUUUCAGUGGGUUGCAUAUUUUCACUACUCCUUCCGAUGCUACAGGCAAUAUUGUGUAAGAUGGCACAAACUAUGACUGUCUUUCCUGCAAACUAAGGCCUCAGUCGCAAAUAAUUUAGACACUGGAAUCUUUCUUUAAGAAUGCCAAAACUAUUUUCAAUUAUGCGGCGUGUUUUUUUGUGGCAACGAUUGAAAACUUCUUCAGCAGGAUUAUUGGGAUUUCGGCGUAAUGGUGGUAUCAACCAGUUUUUCAAUCCAUAACCACUAUCACCCAAAACAACAGCAUCCGGAAAUGGUCUCCAUCCAUUGUCAAAUCUUCGACUUACAGCCGAAUUCCGUAGCACCCUUGAGUCAUGAACGCUGCCCGGCCAACUUGCAUUUACACUGUAAAAUGUGUAGUCUAGCCCACAUAUCAUCAUCACAGUUAAUGAGUGGUUUCCAUGCCGGUCAACAUAUCCUUCCUCGUGUAAUGGAGGCGCAUCAAUUUUAAUGAUUGUGCCAUCAACGCAACCACACACAGAAGGGAAUCCACCCAUCAGAAAAAACUUUUCGGCAAUACCACUGACAUCAUCGGGCCAUCGCACUGUUUUUUUGAAAUAAAACGUCUAUUAUAAUGUCGACAACUCUAUGGAUGGUUCUGCAAACUGUGGAUUUUGCAACACCAUGCAAAGCUGCAAC